AUCCCACUUCUUAAAGUCAGAACAACACUCAAGAAUCUAAACAAUGGUGAGAAACCAAGGUUCGGAGCAAUCAAUAGAUCACUAAAAUCAAGUCUGAAUGCGCCAUUUUCCCCCAAAGUACCAUCAUAGUUAAGAUUUAUAGCUCAGUUCUAUGUUCCAAGUUUAAGCACUAUGCGAGUUACUAAUGACAAUACACUAAGCAAGUUUCUUUUGACAACCAAGGUCAACCAAAUUAACCACUAUGCAGAAGGUG
rnacentral:lncRNA from 1 species